CAGCCCCUGCAGCUCCUUUCCCACUCAGCAGCGUUCCAGCCACGCUGUCCCAGCCUGGGGCACUGCCUGGGGCUGCUGUGACCCAAGGGCAGGGCCCAGCACUGGGCCUGGCUGAGCCUCACACAACCGGCCCUGGCCCAUGGAUCCAGCCUGUGCAGAUCCCUCUGCAGAGCCCCUGCCCUCCAGCAGCUCAGCACUCACACCCAGCUUGGCCUUGUCCUCAAACUGACCACAGGAGCUCUUGAUGCCCUCACUCAGAUCUUCAAUAAAAAUAAAAACCAGCACAGUACAGAGCCUCCAGUACAGAGCCCUGGGGGACACCACCAGUGACCAGCUGCCUCUGCAAGUAAUUCCAUUCACCAGCACUCUCUGGGCCAGGUCAGCAGCCAGUUAUUUUUCCCCAGUCACCAGUGUACCCAUCUAAGCUAUGACUAACCAGUUUCUCCAGGAAAAUGUUGCAGAAGACAGUCAAAAGCAUUACUAAAUUACGGGUAGACAGCAGCUCCAGCCUAAUCCACCAAGCAGGUCUUCUUUGUGAAAGCUCUUCUGAAGUUUUAGAGCAGAGACUUUGAUCAGAUGCAUCAUACAACUAAGGUACCGAUGUUCAUGACUCAGCUCCACAGAGUUAAAAGGAGUUUUUGAAAUUACACACCAGAAAACAGAAGACAUCCUGCGUGUUUUUCUGGUCUGCUCCAGUCAAUAGAACUGCUACCACUUAUGGAGAACAGAUGGGGAAAGAUUUAACAUGGAAUUAAAUGCAUCUAUUAAAGAUUAAUGAGAAAUUACUUUAUUUCAAGGCAGAGAUCAACUUCAAGGUAACCCAGACUUCCAAGAGAGGUCAGAGGACAUAAUUUGCUUUCCCGUAAUCUAAAUCUUAGUAAGUAACUCAGCCAGCCUGAGGGUCCAUUCAUAUGUGUGGGUAGCUUUGAAUACUUAUGUUUCAGAUUUACCAUUUUCUUGCAUAGACAGGAGAAACUCAUGUAUCCCUUUUUCUGUUGAUGGUACUGUGAAACAUCUUUGGCACAUGAUGGCACUGAGUGUCUACAUGAUCUGUUUCUACCCAUGUUCCAAAAUCUGAAAUUAUACAAAGUUUCAAAAUACGUGUGCUGCCGUAACGUAGAGAAACAUGCCAGACAUUUUCUAGAAUUCACCAUAAAUAGAUGGCAACCAAAAAUUGUUAUGCAAUGAUACUUAAUGCAUUCACUGGAUCAGAGACAGGCAAUCACUCUGCUAUAAACCAAAAAUCACAUGCAACAUGUAUGCAGACGUGCAGUAAAUGCUUUAGAUGCCGUGUCUGUGCUCAUGCCAUCUCACCAGUUACAUUCUGCUUAUAGAAGAUGAGUGCAGCUGUCUCAAGAAAUUUGUCCUAUGAUGGAUAAAAUCCUGGAAGAAGACUCCUUACAAACUCCAAAUGGCAAACUGUGCACCAGAAAAACUUUUAGUUCAAACUUUUUUGCAGCUCAAAAUGAAAGACUCAAGCUAAAUCUUAGGGUAUUCAGAACUAACUCGAAGAGAUAUUUCUGCAGGCAAUCAUCCUGGUACAGACAGAUAACGAAUUCCCACCUUCUUAGCUGAAAGAAAAUUACACCCUCGGCUCUCAUGAAAAAUCUUUCUGCCAUACAAAGACCAACCUUUAGUGCCCUGAACUGAUAAUCACCUGGCUUUCAUUAAAUAAAGACACUUCUAAUUAAACAACCUGAUCAACACAUAGAAAUGUGUGCUUUGCAGGCAAGAAAUGGCAAGCAAUUUAUCUUUCAAUAUAGUAAUCACUUAUAUCACACUAUCUGUAAUCUACAGUGAUGAAUAAAGGUAUUUAGAUUAUGAAAUCCUAGAUGAGUUACUGACUGUAUUCAUUUCAAUAGCGAGAAACGGCAACUCAGUGUUUGCAUUUUCAGAAACAGGAUUCCAAUUCCAAUUCAAAUUGGAUUGGCCCAGAAACAUUUUCACUUUUUACCAAAGUAUGUUCUCACAGGAUGAUCUCCCUCUUGAAAGGCUGGUGAAGAGAGAACACACAACAGUCAAAGAAAAAUUCAAGUUAGAUGGGAACUGGGCUAGUUAUCUGGUCUACACCACACCAAAACAAGGCAAGCUUCAAAGUACGUUAGGUUCCUGGUUCAUUUGGGCUUUGAAAGCUGCCAGGGUUGAUCUUCCUGAAGUUCAGGAAUGUAGUGUUUAUCACAACAUGAAGGAUAUGCCACAUUUGGAGGAAUCAGACAAGUCUAGGAACAGGGAACUGGUGAAUCGUAAGUACAGGAGAAACUGAUUUUCAAGAAUCUCAAGUUUUGAAAAAGGCUAAAUACUGCUAAAUCAAAGGGCAUGUGAAUAGGUCAAAUGGACUGUACAACAGUAGUGACAGCAUAUGGCUGGGCAGCUGGUAUGCUUACACUCCUAAUGACUGCCAGAUAAACAGGAAACUGCACAAAGUGAUGGAUAAAACAGAAGUUUUCUUCCUCAAGACCUGUAGCAUAACACAAAAUCUUUGACAGCCACGGCAUUCAUAUGCAGCCUUGGAUCCACUGAAGAAAGCCUUACUACCACUUCAAAGUGAGAGGAUGCUGGCAAGUGUGGCCACAAUUCACUCUCCCAAGAGCCACUACAAUGUUAGACUGGAGAAAUUGCAAUAUCACAUCUAAGAGUUUGCAAAGUGCUUCUCAAGGACAGGCAGUUCUGCUGCAAAUUUGAAUUCUUGUGUAAAUCCAGAGGUGAUGUUUCACAAGUGUAACAGCAUCAUCAGAAGCCUACAAAGCCAAGAGGAGUUUUGAUCUCGGAGAAUGGAAAGGAAGGCACUGUCUUCUUUCCAGAUUUAUCCUCCAACAGAAAAAUAUGUACCAGAUAUGACUGUUCACCCAAGGAAAAGAUUUCCAUAGGAGGGACAGUUCUUAAAGCUAAAUGGAUUAAACUGAAAGAGGCAUAUUCAAAGAAAACAAAAGGAAAAUCAAAAUAUUUUAAAAGAGACUAGAGACAAGGCUGACUAAAGACUGUAGAACAAAGAGAUGGCACAGAUCUCAGUUAAGCGGUGAGCUGAGAGUGAAGUGCUUAUCACAAGGAACAGUGUCAUUCACAUCAACAAAAUAGACUGGGCAAGCCAGACAGUUUUGCUGUGGCACACAUUCCAGGAGAUUGAGUGUGGAUGGAAUUCUGUCAUGAAUGCUAGCAACGCACAGAUAAGAGAAGCACAGAGAGAGAUCAGAGGAUUUGCAGAAAGUAACACAGGUGAUAGAGCUCAAGAACCCCAGUUCUGCAGAAACUCAGCUGCUUGUCCAACUUUUGUGCCUCAAGUCUUACCCUACACUGAAGAAUAUCUACAGAUUCAUCAGCCAGAAUGUGCCAAAUCAAACUGGAUUCCUGACAGAGUUUAAGAUAGCAGUGAAGUAAAAACCCAGCAUUUAAAUGCUGAAAGGAGAUGUUUCCAAAUACCUAUCUAGGCCCAGAGGAAAGUGACAGCUCAUGAUCCAAAUUAUCAUAAGGUUUCCCCCUGCUGCUUCCUGAAAAAUGACACCUGGGACUGUGAGGAGGAGGUGACAUUGAGGCUGGCAUACAAAUGUGGAAGCACCUCACCCAAUCUAGCAGGAAAAACCCUAAAAAAAUGAGCCACCAUGGAAUUAAGAGAUCUAAGUAUUGUCUAGAGGUGAGGAACUGAAUCCAGUGUCUGCUAAGAUCCUUUUCACCUUUCACCCUAACCUAAAGGAUGUCGGCUAGAAAGAGGACCUCGAAUGUCAGACUGAAAAACUGGAAUCUCCUGGUGCUCUCGUGAGGAUGGAAGCCCCAGCUCUGCCUGCAGACCAGCAGACACAGCUGCGUUCUUCCUCCUCCUCUGUGCCACUCCUGGGAGCAGCAACGGCAUGUGCGCGACCCAUCGGUUCUCCCCACCUGAGCUGAUUUUUAAUAAAGGCAUUAAAAAA